UUAUUAUUAUUUAAUUUAGUAGUAUAUUAAUAUAUAUAUAUAUACUUUUUAUUUUAGCCUCCUAGUGAAUUAAAACUUAAUGGAAAAGCUGAUGUUGUAUAUGAUGCCUUGAAACAUCUCUUAUAUAUUGCUGAACUUCCAGUUAUAAAUAUUUUACAUCCUUGCCUAUUGAAAUUUCUUUCAGGACAAGAAAGAAAUCCAAAGAAUUCUUCAGUAGAUUUCAGAUCAACUCGUUAUGAUGAAGUAUAUGGACAACUUUUGUGGAAUAUGGAGCAUGAACAAAAAAUAUUAUUUCGAAGAGCAUAUUCUGCUUAUAUUCCUGAAUAUAUUAAUGCAAUGGGAAUAGCUGUAUGUUAUCAUAUGAAGCAAACUUUAAGAACGUUGUUAGAAUACUUAUUAAUAUAUGAUGGACCAGAAGAAGUGAGUAGAAGAAAUGCACUUCUGUCACUAAAAGUGUUGAUUUCUGUUGCUUGGCCAAGAAUACCUUAUCAUUGGGAAGAAAUUAUGAAAAAUAUUCUUAUUUGUAUAUAUGAAGUAGAAGAAGAAGAUAUAUCUAUUGAAGUAAAGUCAUUACUUUUGAAUGAAGCAAGAAAUUGUUUAUUAUAUAUGAAAAAAGCAUGUCCUGAAAAAUUUGAACCUGUAAAGAAAGGUCAACUCUGCCAUGAAAUUGUUUAUUCCUCAAAUGUGCAUUUGAAAGGACUGGAUUGGAAUAAAGACACAUUUGUGUUUUUAAAGAGUGCUCCAACUGAUUCAACUUUACCAGUCAUUGAUAUGAUUAAAUCACUUGACAAAUAUGAGUAAAAUAAAUAUGAAAAAUUUCAUCAAGAUAUAAAUCUUCUGGUAAUUUAAAGGUAUAUAAUUUCUACAUCCUCAGUAAUUUUUAUGCAAGUUUGGAUUUAUAUAUGGAUCAUUUUUAAAAAGCUGUAUGUGUUAAAUCAAGGGUACUCAAGAUAUAAGUUUCAACCUCUAAAGGGAUCACAAAAAGAAAUUUCAAAAACAAAAAUAUAAAAACAGAAAAUGCAAACAAGCAAUCUUCAGACUAACACACAAAAGACAAAAUUAGCUAGUAUCAAUAAGGGUUUACAGAAUACUGCAAUAGCUCAAGUUUCUGAUUUUGUUCAAUGAUUAAGACAAAUUUUGAUUUUAAAAAUAAGUUCAAAUAAGUAGCCUAUUGGUUCAUAUUCUCAGUUAAAUGUGGAAAGUUUUUGUCAUAAAAUAAAAUUUGAACAAAAUAAUAUGUUCUUUUUGAUAGAGAAAAAUUAAUCAGAAUGUUAAUAUUUUAAAAUAUUUUUGUAUAAGAAAUACUUCAGCUGUUGAAUUAAAAAUGAGUAUUAAUUUUGUAAAAUUUUAAUAUUGUUUUCUAGUAAAUCGGAUUUUAAAUCCAUUUUUCGUAUGUAAAGGAGACUUUCGAUAAUUAAUCUAUGCAAAUAUUUCUUGUGAUAUUUAUUACAAGAAAUAAAUUGCAUUUUAUGGGUUUCGCCCAUUAAUUCGAUGUAUUUUAAUUAUAAACUUGGAAUAUCAUCCCAAUAUAAAAUUUAAUUUCUUGGAAAAGAAUUUCGGAAUGAUUUCGUGCGCAUAUUUGGUCCACCCUCGAAUCCGGAACUGAAAUUUAUCGGAUCAUUAUAUUUUUAGUUCGUUACUGUGAAAAUUUUACAAUAGGAUUAGAGUGCAAUAAAUAUAAAGUGUGUAUUGUUCACAUUCAAAGAAACUCGGGGAAUAAUUGAAGGAAAGCGUUCCUUUUUUGGAAAAGAUUUGUUAGGUGGCUUUUAAUGUAACGAGCCGCGAAGGUGCUUCCAAGAUUCUCGGAUAGAUAAAACAGUCGAUCGGGGAAUCCCCGACACCCAACAUUAGGAAGUGAUUUCCUUAUUAAGUUCGAAAUGGUAUGUAACAUCCUCGGUGGAAUUAUGUUCCUAGAAUUUAAUUAACCGUACACGCAGUUAAGGGCAGCAGAAAAUAAGCUAGCCUUGUUUCUGAUGACGAUAAUAAAUACAGAGACGACGACUAUAUGUAAUGAUCCGCUCACUAUACGUUUAGGUAUUGAGACUAAGCGUAAAAUCCUUUGUCCUUUCGGAUUUUUCGGACACCUUGGCUUUGACUUAACGAACUUGGAAGUCAUUCACCCUUCUGCUUCCAAUUAAAAUAAGAAAUGCCGAAAAUUUCAAUUUUCUGUUGUAAUAAUCGGAAUUCUCUUUAAAUUAUAGAUAGAUACCAAUACGAAUUAAUUAUAAUUAGUUUGCAUUCGUCACUGCCGAAUAUUGAUUUUAUACAUAAAACUGAUCCAAUUCGUAAUAAAAUUAAUUAAUUUUUGUCUUUUUUUUAUACAUAUAUCGUUUAAAAUAUAUUUAAUUUGUAGCUUAGGCAUCAAAAAUUCACUCUGUUCCGUUAGAUAG